rnacentral:lncRNA from 1 species
UUGCACCAAUUAAAACAGAAAAACGUAGUUGAAUACUCACGGGUUUUAACUUGUCAAUGUUCAUGUCCCGAGCAGAUGGAGACAAUGUUUGAGUAUCUGAGAUUGGACCAUGGGCAUUUAACGGAUCCAGCAGCUUAAAGUGGUAAUGUGGUACUGAGAAUGCUGGCAAGGAAUCAAAUGUCAGAGAAACUAGCAAAAGACAUGGAUGCAUCUGAAAGGCACAUAAUUGAGAAAGCAUAUGAACUUGCAAAGAACCACAUAAGGAACAACAGGGAAGCAAUCGACGAAUUAAUAGACGUGGUGCUAGAAAAAGAGACUUUUUGAUGCUCAAUCCUCCCUACUCCUCUAGAAAAGCAUAUGAAUUAACACAUCUUCUUGUUGCACCAAUUGAUCCUAUUCUUACUACUCCUCUGACCCUUCUCCCUAUAACAAUUGAUUUGUUUUCUUUUAAUGCUCUCUUCGAUGAAAAGUGCUCUUCCCUUGCUUCAAGAUUUGUUCUUUUAUAUAUAUGCAUAUAUCUUGGUUACAAUCGAUAUGAUGAAUUGUAGAUGUUCUGUAAACCAUGACAUUGUUGUAGAAAACCAUUGUUAAUUAUGAAUCCAAUUGAACUAAUACCAAAAGAAUUUAAGUACCGAGAAUGAAAGAUGGGAUCUUUCUUUCUUUUUGUAAUGUCCUGGCACUCAUUUCAGUCAUGUUGUAUAUACCAAUGUGUCAAUUGUAAGAUCUUCAUUUUUGGAGUCUCUUUACUUCUAGCUGGUGGAAGUUCUAUGCUUUUCAAGAUCUCAAGAUUCUCUUCAUCUUAAGGUAAGAGUUAAUAGAUUUUGUCCAACUUGGGCAUAAAGAUUUUUUGUAUGGUAAAAGAUAUGUACCUUGCGAGAAGAAAGAAUUUGCUGUCACUAAUAGCAUUAGCAGCACGUAUGUUGCUUGUUCAUUGCCACUAUUGGCAUC